CUAUAAAGCAUGCCCCAGAGAUGACAUACAAUGCCUUCUAUCAGCCCAGAAGCCUCGUAUACAAAGGCACGUGCACACAUGGGAUGAUCACUGCACCCCUCAACCCCCCCCCCAACCCGCCUCUUUCUGACACGCGAAGCCAAUGGGAAUAACCGAAUGGAUGAGGCCUGCUGCAGUGGGCUUUAUGGGAUGACUCUCACAGCCUCAACACAGCUCACUUUUGUCCCUCCGCUGGUGUUUUGAAGUCCUGCAUUCUUCCUGGGCUACAUCACCGGCCGUGUACAGCUGCUGCUGGAGGAGCCUUGGUUCGGCGGAGCCGUGAGCAUUUGGGAUGCCUUCAGCUGCUCGGCCACCCAGCCGGUCAGAGGUAGGGGGACAAGGUGACCUGGGUGUUACAGAGGAAGUUAGACAGCAGUAAAGACUCAGAGAGAACAAACAAACCUGGGUUAUGUCAUCUCGUUCACACACAGACAACACACACUCUGUUUUGUAUUCCUGACUUUGUAGAAGUGCUUCCAUUGGCGUCUGUGUUGGUGAAGUUCUCCUCACAAACCUUUCUAAACUUCACUCCUAUGGUUUCCAAAAAGAAAAAAAAAUUGACCACAUUUGACCACAGCAGAGUUUUCCAUUUUGCCUCAGUUCAUUUUGAAUGAGUUUUGGCCCAAAUAACACAGUAUUGUUUCUGGAUGGUGCUGACAUAUGGCUACUUCUUUGCGUGAUACAGCUUUGACUUCAAUUUGUGGAUCGCAUAAUGAACUGUGUCCACAGAAAAUGAUUUCUGGAAGGAUUCCUGAGCCCAUGCAGUGAUUUCUAGUACAGAAUCAGUACAGUCUGUGUUUAAAGCUGUGCCACCUGAGAGCCUGAAGAUCACCAGCAUCCAGUAUUAACUGUUACCCUUGCUCUUUGCGCAGAGGGAUUUCUUGAGUUUCUCUAAAUCUUUUGAUGAUAUUUUUUGCAUUUUUAUACCCAGUCUUGUGAGUUAGUCACAGAUUGCUUCUUCAGCUGUUUUUUUAUUGUCACCACUUACUUUUUUAACCUUUUGUUGCCUCGUCUCAACCUGUUUGAGAUGUGUUGCUGCCAUCAACUUCUAAAUGAGUUACUAUGUUCUCUUGAAAUGGUCAAAUUUCUCACUUUCACCAUCUGAUAUGUGUUCUAUUGUGAAUAAAAUAUGAGUCUGUGA